CCGUCUUCGGAUCUGAGAUGUUGAAGAAGAGAUUGUGGAUCAUGGAGCACUCCAGUGGGAAUGGAAUGGAAGAACGAAAAGGACCCACGCUGGAGCACCUCCAGGGACUCUUCACCCUACUGGACCGGUAAGAUUCCUGCCUUCCCUUCUGGCCAUUUUCCCACAGAAGAUGGAUGGCCUCAGAAGAACUUCCACCCAGAAGCUUAUGGCAAGGCUGGCCAUGCAGCACAAAACUGAGAUCCUGUCCAGACUGCGAAUAAGUAGAACAACAGAGGACCGAUUAUCUUAUACUGCAAAGUCAAGGUGGGUCAGUCUCCAAAUUUCUACUUUACAGGAAAAAAUCUGUCAGAUCAACUGAACAAGUGUUGCCUUUGGGGCUAUUGUCCCCUGCCCCCAAUUACCACAGAGAUUUGGGGGUGCUGCCUAGGUAGCUGGAAAGCUGUCUUACUCCUUCUUAAAUUUAUCCUUCUCAGAUCUGAUGGUGUUUGGUGACUAGGGUAUCAGCUUAACAGCCCCAAUCCUAAGAUUUUAUAUAUAUGUUCCUCAAUUACAGACAUACAUGCCUCAUUCACAGACUUCAUGGUACAGGAUAGACUG